rnacentral:rRNA from 1 species
GCUCAGACACUCAAAGGACGUUGACGGGGCCCGCACAAGCGGUGGAGUAUGUGGUUUAAUUCGAUGCAACGCGAAGAACCUUACCUGGUCUUGACAUCCCGGAGACCCUUAGGAAACUAGGGGGUGCUUCCAUCUGGAAGAAUCUGGAGACAGGUGCUGCAUGGCUGUCGUCAGCUCGUGUCGUGAGAUGUUGGGUUAAGUCCCGCAACGAGCGCAACCCUUGCCUUUAGUUGCCAGCAGUUCGGCUGGGCACUCUAAAGGGACUGCCGGUGUUAAACCGGAGGAAGGUGGGGAUGACGUCAAGUCCUCAUGGCCUUUAUGACCAGGGCUACACACGUACUACAAUGGCCGAUACAAAGGGCAGCGACACUGCGAGGUGAAGCCAAUCCCGUAAAAUCGGUCUCAGUCCGGAUUGGAGCUGCAACUCGACUCCAUGAAGUUGGAAUCGCUAGUAAUCGUGGAUCAGCAUGCCACGGUGAAUACGUUCCCGGGCCUU